rnacentral:rRNA from 1 species
UACGUAGGGUGCUAGCGUUGUCCGGAAUCAUUGGGCGUAAAGCGCGCGUAGGCGGCCAGAUAAGUCCGGUGUGAAAGUCACAGGCUCAACCUGUGAAUGCCGCUGGAAACUGUCUGGCUAGAGUCCGGAAGGGGCGAGUGGAAUUCCUGGUGUAGCGGUGAAAUGCGCAGAUAUCAGGAGGAACACCAAUGGCGAAGGCAGCUCGCUGGAACGGUACUGACGCUGAGGCGCGAAAGCGUGGGGAGCGAACAGG